CAUCUAUCAUAUCCAACACAUACAACCGAGAUAGAUUAAUCACCAAGAGAUCAAAUUUGAUUUCAAAAUUUUGAUGAAUAUAUGUAUUAAGAAUUCAUAUAAUAAAUUAUCGUCAAAAUAAUAAAAAGUGGAGUAAAACCGAUAAUUAAUAUGAAUUUAAUUCAAGAUAAAUUCCGGUUAAAAACACUUUAAAAAAAUUAUAAUCUUCUCAAAAUAAAGAUUUUCAAUCGUCUCCUUUCUCAAAGAAAAAUUUUUAAAAUUUCCAAACAUCCUUCCUCAAAUCAUUUUUUUUUUAAAAAAAUUUUGCACACGAAAACCAUCAUGUAAUGCAAUGAAUAAAAAUAUGCAACAAGUACCAAUCAAAGCAUUACAUAAAAACAAACUAAGACGAAGAGCAAGAAAAGAUAUCACCUUUCCGAAUCCAAACUUGUCGGAUUUUCUGUUGUCUUAUC
rnacentral:lncRNA from 1 species